rnacentral:lncRNA from 1 species
UUCAUUGUUGCCCAACUUCAUGCAUAUGUAGUUUGCAUUGCUCUUCUCGUCAGUUUAGCGGUGGUUCCUACUUGGGGUUUCUAUUUUGUUUUUGUUAUUUUUAGAAAACAAAUAUGCUUUUGCUCGGAGUGGGUAGCAAGGGAUAAAUUAGUGUUUGGGAUGUUGAAACACGAACAUGUGUCAUUUCAAAUCUUGACUUAGAUCUGUUGGAUCAAGUGGCCUCGGAAUAAUUAAGAAG